rnacentral:sRNA from 1 species
UUUUAGCCCCGAUUGCAGUGGAAAUCCUUUUAUUUUUUUCUUUAAGAAAAUAAAAGAUUGAAACGGAAAGCGGGAACCAUG